rnacentral:rRNA from 1 species
UACGAAGGGGGCUAGCGUUGUUCGGAAUUACUGGGCGUAAAGCGCGUGUAGGCGGCAGCGUGUGUCGGGCGUGAAAUCCCACGGCUUAACCGUGGAAGUGCACCCGAAACUGCGCAGCUAGAGUCCUGGAGAGGAAGAUGGAAUACUUGGUGUAGAGGUGAAAUUCGUAGAUAUCAAGUGGAACACCGGUGGCGAAGGCGGUCUUCUGGACAGUGACUGACGCUGAGACGCGAAAGCGUGGGGAGCAAACAGG